rnacentral:rRNA from 1 species
GACGAACGCUGGCGGCGUGCUUAACACAUGCAAGUCGAACGGACAGACAGAGAGCUUGCUCUCUUGAAGUUAGUGGCGAACGGGUGAGUAACGCGUACUCAACCUGCCCUUCAGAGGGGGAUAACAACGGGAAACCGUUGCUAAUACCGCGUACGAUUCAUGAACGGCAUCGUUUAUGAAUGAAAGGUGGCCUCUAUGUAUAAGCUAUCGCUGACGGAGGGGAUUGCGUCUGAUUAGCUAGUUGGAGGGGUAACGGCCCACCAAGGCAAUGAUCAGUAGCCGGUCUGAGAGGAUGAACGGCCACAUUGGGACUGAGACACGGCCCAAACUCCUACGGGAGGCAGCAGUGGGGAAUCUUCCGCAAUGGACGAAAGUCUGACGGAGCAACGCCGCGUGAGUGAUGAAGGUCUUCGGAUUGUUAAGCUCUGUUAAUCGGGACGAAAGAGUUCUGCGUGAAUAAUGCAGAAAAGUGACGGUACCGGAAUAGAAAGCCACGGCUAACUACGUGCCAGCCGCCGCCGUAA